rnacentral:rRNA from 1 species
CACGUAGGGUGCGAGCGUUGUCCGGAAUUAUUGGGCGUAAAGAGCUCGUAGGCGGUGUGUCGCGUCGGCCGUGAAAACCUGCAGCUUAACUGUGGGCUUGCGGUCGAUACGGGCAUCACUGGAGUUCGGCAGGGAGACUGGAAUUCCUGGUGUAGCGGUGAAAUGCGCAGAUAUCAGGAGGAACACCGGUGGCGAAGGCGGGUCUCUGGGCCGAUACUG